rnacentral:rRNA from 1 species
GAGUUUGAUCCUGGCUCAGGAUGAACGCUGGCGGCGUGCCUAACACAUGCAAGUCGAACGGAUUUGAGGGGCUUGCUCCUCAAGUUAGUGGCGCACGGGUGAGUAACGCGUAGAUAAUCUGCCUGAUGAUCUGGGAUAACACUUCGAAAGGGGUGCUAAUACCGGAUAAGCCCACGGGGUCUUUGGAUUCUGCGGGAAAAGGGGGGGACUUUCGGGCCUUCUGUCAUCAGAUGAGUCUGCGUACCAUUAGCUAGUUGGUAGGGUAAUGGCCUACCAAGGCUAUGAUCAGUAGCAGGCGUGAGAGCGUGACCUGCCUCACUGGGACUGAGAUACUGCCCAGACACCUACGGGUGGCUGCAGUCAAGAAUAUUCCUCAAUGGGCGAAAGCCUGAAGGAGCGACGCCGCGUGUAGGAUGAAGGUUUUCGGAUUGUAAACUACUUUUAUAUGGGACGAAUUCGUGACGGUACCAUAUGAAUAAGAGGUUGCUAACUCUGUGCCAGCAGCCGCGGUAAUAC